rnacentral:tRNA from 1 species
AUAUAAGCUGCUUGCCCUCACUAAUAAAAAACAGCAAUCCCUCCCCUUCUGUUACCUACUUUUACUCAUAUCUUCGGUAUACCUCAAUACAAGCACAGGAAAGGAUUAUUCAAUCAAAACCGGGCUAUCGCCCUAUUCUCUCUCAAUUGCCUAUCCUUUAUAGAUGAGGGGGAGUACCUUAGCAGUAGCUUCCAACACUUAAGAUUGACCUCCUCAAGUGCUAGAUAUGAAUGUUUUAUGAAUUUCAUACGGGACUACCGCUUACGCCCCUAAAGUUCACUUCUGACUUACCAAAGAAGUUUACUAAAGAAACUGACCUAAGCAUAGCUCUCUCUCUCAAAUACAAAUGCCAAGAAAGAGAUUCCUUGGAUAAGUGGAAAAAUGCCUUUCAUUUCUCUUUUAAGGCGUUUGUCCUACUUAUAGUAUCAGUCCUCCAGCCUAUCGAAAUUCGUGUUUUUAUUAACCAACAACACAUGCACUUUGUUGGCACUAAAAAAAAAGGUUAUUCAAUCCACUAGUGCAACUGAAGGUGCGUAGCCUCUUCUGAACCGAAACAAGAAAGAGCUCAUAACCACUGCUUGUGAACAGCUCUCCUCAACUGAAGGCGCACCUACUGUUACUAGAAGUCUAGUCUCUUUCAGGUCCAGUUUCGAUCUCGAACUAACGGCCGGAAGAGAGAUUCUUCAGAAAACCCGAUUUCCUGUCCUGUCUUAAGAACCUGACUCAAAAGAGAAAAGAAGACCGGACUAAAAGAGAUAUCACUUUCGACGAUUGAACUGCACUUUAUCCAGAUUGGAACUGGAUUUGAACGUUUUUGGAUCCUGUUUAGAGCCGGCUUUCACUCCACUUUCCGGAAUCCUUGCUCCUGGCUUAUAUUCACAUAGGCCACUCAUAAGAAUAAGACGUUCAACUCCCACGUAUAAUUGAGAGACUCAGAAUAUCAGUGCCUUGGGUAAAUGCCUACCUUCGGGAGAAUCUUACCGAACGAGUUUCAAACCUGUCCUCUUCGCUUCCCAAGAUAUUUAGGGAAAAGGGCCUUGUCGGCCACCGCUUGCUGACGAUGGAACGCAUCGUCAAUUAAAAGUCCUCGCGUUGGACAACGUUGGAAAGGUAGGUGUUCGGCAUGUCCCUUGCUUGCGAACUUAUUGUUGAGGGCGGGUAGCUUUGGAGAUCCCAUUCCUCACGUUUACCGUUGUCCCCAGACUUCACUCUUUCAACACUUGUAUACUUUCUAAAUAGUCAGGCGUGCCCCUGUCUCUGUCUCUAACAAGUGUGUGUGAUCCACCGAUUGAUUUACUUAGUGACUCUUUCUUACCGCUGGAGUCCCCAUCUCUUAAAGCCAACUCAGACUUCCGAUCCAUCCCUUGUUUUUGCCGAUUGAAGAAAGCCAACUAGGGUCUCAUCAAACAAGCGAGAAAAGGCCCUUUCUAUGUUAUGUUAUUAGUAACCUGCAAGAAAACUAAAGCGCUAACGAGCAACGGCUUUCGCGCAGCUCAAUCCGUUGCUUGUUGCUUUCGAGCCGGAGGGUAGUCAAGUAGUCCGUGAAGGUUAAAUCACACUUGUGUUAAGCAAGCAGAGUAGUCAAGCCAGAGAGGCAAAAAAAGCAAGAAGCGGUUUUCGUUCGAUCGACAAAAUAAAUCGUACUUUCACUGCUGUGGACCGGCUUUCAUAAAGCACCUUUGGGCAGCAGCUACUAUUGGGAUCCAAUUCCGAGAUCAAUUCGACAAUGAAACUCUUCAAGCAAUGAUCUUAUCUAUGUCAUUUCUCUUGAUGCGAUACAAAAGACGACUUUCGAGAGUCACUUAGCCCCUUGACCUCUUCUCUCAAAAAAGACGCUGUGUGGGCAAGUCGAUCAAAGUCAGAGCGGGGAGGGAAUGUUUACAGUUGUUGUAGUACGACUUUGAAUUUCCUGUUCGGUCUUUCAAGUUGUAGUCAGCUGCGGGCUAAGAAGCCUCGUAGUCAGACUUAACAUUGAUUGAAGCAGCUGUUGGAGAGAAGGCACCAGUCAGACCUGCAAGCACCAGGUAGUACGCAGCGGCAGUUUUCAAUCAUACAAUGUGUACUCGUAGUCUGACUUUUAGUGGUAGUCAGCUGUCCUCGUUCUCCUCUUUUCAUUGCCCUAUUGAGUAAGGGUCGGUGUUUGCAAAAAUGUCGAGCCGACGGGGUCAGGUACCAGUAGUGACAAUGGCAAAGGGGGGGAGCUGGACACUAGUUGUGCUAGUGGAAUGACCCAACUAGACCUAGUCAGCCCGAACCGUUUUGCGGUUCUAGAGGACCCUGAACAAGAAGAGGCAAAGAUGCCAGAUCUGGACACUGCGGAACCGGAAGAGAUUGCUCAGGAUGAGUGUCUGGGUAACAAAGCCGAGAAGGGUGUAGUCAAGGUGCGAGUUUAACGAGCGAGGAGAGUGAUUUGGCCCAUAGAAGCGAGGAUCUGGAAGAGAGGGUUGAUACUGGGUCAACUAUGGCAGUGACUGAGGGGGACUUGUUCUGUGAUAAACAAAUGACUCCAAACAAGAACCUCAGGGCAGCCAAUCCUAAGAAAAGAGGUGAACCUGAGAAGAGCAGUAAAAGUAAGCAUUCAGGUGAUGGUGCUAUGACCUUAAAGGUGGAAGAUCCUCCCCUGGUUCUAACCACCCUGAAUGAAGAGUGGGCGAACAAAAUGCAGAACAUAUCAGAGAUGUUGAAAAGAGGGGGGAAGGGGAAAGUCAAAGCCAAAGAACAAAAGACAAAUAAGGGCUGCACAAGACGAAAAACCAGAGGCAGCGCUAAGGUGCGAGGGGAAUGUGAAAACAACAAUAGUUCCACAUGAAGGUCCAACUAUGGAAUGGAAGAAGGAUCGGUAAAGUCGAGAAGCAGAGAGAGGCCAAAGAUUAUAUAAGAGCGCAAGAGGCAGAUUUGAUUGGCUUGGUUGACGGCUGGCGAGCUUAGCUUAGAGAAAAGGUUAAUUCUAGUUCCUUUCGGGCAGCGCGAGUGGAAAGCCCUACAAAGUAAGCCCUCAAAGUCUUUAAGUUAAGGAAGCCGAGUUGAACAGAAGAUAGAGUUUCAGUUCCAGUGAAAGCCCCUACUCCCAUAAAGUUGGAAAGUGAAGUUCAAGUGCUGAAGUCAAAGAGAAGUUUCUUAUUUCUGUGACCGCGAGUUGCAAUAAGUACUUUAAAGCUCAACAAGGAAAAAUACAACCUUGCUAAAGCAGAUCAGGAAAAAACCUUAUUCCGGGCGUGAGCCAUAGCACAGGGACUCUCGGUUGGUCGUAGAAAUGAAAGAGUUAACAGUUUUCGCUAGUGAAGCUUUAAGAGAUAGGGCAAGUAGUCUACGACUAUCCUUGCUUUGUUGCCGGCUUUCAUAGUCAAAAAAAGAAGUCGCUUUCCCCCUUCCUUUAGGGAUGAAUUCCCUAAUGCCGAUCUGGCCUGGGAGGAUAAAGGCAGGAAGUGGGAUGAGAAGUGUCAGCAAGCGUUCGAGCAGAUCAAAGAAUGUUUGAUGAACCCGCCUGUUUUUGUUUUGGUCCCGACGCGACCAGGAAAGCCUCUGUUACUGUACUUGUCUGUUAUAGAAGCGGCAAUGGGCUGUAUGUUAGCACAGAUGGAUGACGAGGGAAUCGAGAGGGCUGUUUACUAUUUAAGUUAAGUAAGAGGAUGUUGGCUUAUGAGGAGAAUUCUUCUGCGAUUGAGAAGACUUGCUUGGCAUUGGUAUGGGUUACGAAGAAGUUACGUCAUUACAUGCUAGCUUACCAGGUUAUCAUUAUCUCUAGGAUGGAUCCGUUGAAGUACUUCGAUCCAAUCAAUCGAUCGAUCAAGAGGCUAAUCUCUUUUGUUUAGGCCAGUAGCUAAAAAAAAGUCCUCGCUUUCUCUUGAACAAGGGAAGGACAGCAUAGCAUUAGCUUCAAUUGAACAAGCUCAACCUUGAAAAAGAAAGGGGGUAGGCCGAAGAACCGUUGAACGCUUCAACUUGGCCACUGAAGAAGGCGAAGGCUGGGCAAGAGACUGGGCCAACUUACUGCCAUGCCAUGGUUGAAGCUUUAAGCUCUAUAGACGGAACUCUUUUUUAGGUAUUAGAGGAGAGAGGACACCACUCAGCACCCCACGGAGCGGUAAGGUUCAAUGCCUAACAAAAACAAACGGCCAAAAGAAAAAAAAAAUGUAUGGCUGAGAGGAGAAGAAAAAGAACGCAUGCAUGGAGUCUGUCGGAAAUUAUAAAAUCUAUGAAAAGACAUCUAAGGCUAAGAAAGAAUUCAAGAAAGUUCAUUACUGAGAGAAGUGGUGAUCUCGUCUUGCUUGCUGGGAGAGAGGAAGCUUCCGGACCACCUUUUUCAGCCAGAUAGCGAGCGAUCACUCAGCAAUGAACACUAACUGAAAGCGGCCGAGAAUGAGUACCUAUCCCUUACGGGAAUCGAACCCGUGUCUUCGACAUGAAAAGACGAUGUCCUAACCACUGGACGAAAGGGACCAAAAAGCCAUUCUUCAUAUACCUCAGCUCCGAGAAUAGAAGUGGUUCGUUUUCUUUCUAUACGCAAUUCACGAUUUCGUUUGUGUUCAUGUUGGCGAUUUCUGAUGUGAAUUCGGCGGGUCGUCCCCCCUUCCUACGGGUUCCCCCACCUACCCAGUGAUACACCAACCACGCUCCUUUCCUUUCUCCGAUCAUAAAGUCCCCUGAUCUCUUUCUUUGUCUUUCAUCCCCCCCUGAACAGAAUAAGUAAGGCCCCGUUCUUUCU